rnacentral:rRNA from 1 species
CUAACACAUGCAAGUCGAGGGGCAGCACGGAAGUAGCUUGCUACUUUUGGUGGCGACCGGCGCACGGGUGCGUAACGCGUAUGCAACCUACCCAUAACAGGGAGAUAACACUGAGAAAUUGGUACUAAUACCCCAUAACAUCAGAUGAGGCAUCUCAUUUGGUUGAAAGUUCCGGCGGUUAUGGAUGGGCAUGCGUUGUAUUAGCUAGUUGGUGAGGUAACGGCUCACCAAGGCGACGAUACAUAGGGGGACUGAGAGGUUAACCCCCCACAUUGGUACUGAGACACGGACCAAACUCCUACGGGAGGCAGCAGUGAGGAAUAUUGUCAAUGGACGCAAGUCUGAACCAGCCAUGCCGCGUGCAGGAUGACGGCUCUAUGAGUUGUAAACUGCUUUUGUAUAAGGGUAAACCCAGGUACGUGUACCUGACUGAAAGUACUAUACGAAUAAGGAUCGGCUAACUCCGUGCCAGCAGCCGCGGUAAUACGGAGGAUCCAAGCGUUAUCCGGAUUUAUUGGGUUUAAAGGGUGCGUAGGCGGUUUGAUAAGUUAGAGGUGAAAUACCGGGGCUCAACUCCGGAACUGCCUCUAAUACUGUUGAACUAGAGAGUAGUUGCUGUGGGCGGAAUGUAUGGUGUAGCGGUGAAAUGCUUAGAGAUCAUACAGAACACCGAUUGCGAAGGCAGCUCACAAAACUAUAUCUGACGUUGAGGCACGAAAGCGUGGGGAGCAAACAGGAUUAGAUACCCUGGUAGUCCACGCAGUAAACGAUGAUAACUCGCUGUCGGCGAUACACAGUCGGUGGCCAAGCGAAAGCGAUAAGUUAUCCACCUGGGGAGUACGUCCGCAAGAAUGAAACUCAAAGGAAUUGACGGGGGCCCGCACAAGCGGAGGAACAUGUGGUUUAAUUCGAUGAUACGCGAGGAACCUUACCCGGGCUUGAACUGCAGGAGAACGAUUCAGAGAUGAUGAGGUCCUUCGGGACUCCUGUGGAGGUGCUGCAUGGUUGUCGUCAGCUCGUGCCGUGAGGUGUCGGCUUAAGUGCCAUAACGAGCGCAACCCUUGCGCGUAGUUGCCAUCAGGUUAUGCUGGGCACUCUGCGCGGACUGCCACCGCAAGGUGUGAGGAAGGUGGGGAUGACGUCAAAUCAGCACGGCCCUUACGUCCGGGGCUACACACGUGUUACAAUGGGUGGUACAGAGAGCCGGCCGCAUGCAAAUGCGGUCCAAUCCUUAAAGCCGUCCUCAGUUCGGAUUGGGGUCUGCAACCCGACCCCAUGAAGCUGGAUUCGCUAGUAAUCGCGCAUCAGCCAUGGCGCGGUGAAUACGUUCCCGGGCCUUGUACUCACCGCCCGUCA